rnacentral:rRNA from 1 species
AUGGCUUCCCGUUCAGCCGCGACCGGUGCCCGUGUCACUGCAAGGCGCUUGUCGCCUCGACGACUGCCUCGUCCAUAUAAGCAGCGACGUCCCCAAAGCUCGACCUGGCGCUGGUACCGUUGGUGUGGCCUGUGCCCGAGUUGCUACAGGCCGCGAGCGGGAACUGCGACGGGCUCGCAGACUUGGAUGGGUCUGGCGCAGCAGAAUACGCGACGGGCAUGCUGGAGGUCGCCCGGCAAUGGGUACUGGGGCGCCGACGGGCUCGUGAUCGCCCCUCCACAGCCACGCGUACAAAGUGCAGGGCGGAGCAGACGCGAGCUAGAUGGCGAUGGGCACCGAGGCGGCGGCGUGCUCGUGAUCCCCUCCCAUGCGUGCUUGAGGAGCUAG